GUGGGGCCGCUUCAGGUGGAAGACAAAGGCGUUGUGUUGAACUCUCCGGCAGUGGGAGAUGCUGGUCAGCUUGUAGAUGGAGAUGUUGCUGUGCCAGUUGACCUUGUGCGAGAGGAGAGGGCUCUGCAUCUGAAGCUGCCCUUGCACCAGAGACACCAGGCUGCAGCCCACCUGGCC